rnacentral:rRNA from 1 species
UACAGAGGUCUCGAGCGUUGUUCGGAUUCAUUGGGCGUAAAGGGUGCGUAGGUGGCGCUGUAAGUCGGGUGUGAAGUCCUGAGGCUUAACCUCGGAACUGCAUUCGAUACUGCGGCGCUUGAGGACUGGAGAGGAGACUGGAAUUCAUGGUGUAGCAGUGAAAUGCGUAGAGAUCAUGAGGAAGACCAGUGGCGAAGGCGGGUCUCUGGACAGUUCCUGACACUGAGGCACGAAGGCCAGGGGAGCAAACGGG